UGUCGUAACAAGGUUUCCGUAGGUGAACCUGCGGAAGGAUCAUUACAGGAAUUCGGGCCGCCUUGCCUGAACACACUGUUCUUCCCGGGCUUGGUCGGUUGCCGCGAGGCGCCGCCCUCUCCCAGGACCCUUGGCUUGUCUGCCUUGUGGUUGCUUAGGCCGGGGCCCUUGGUCCGCGAUCCCUUUUGGGCGCGGGCCUAUCGGGGCCCCAGCCGCCCAGCCGGUCCCUGGUGCCGUAACCGGCCGUCAAGGAGCUCUCGCCAGGGCCUGCUGGGUUUGUGUUUGCCUCCCCCCGGGUUGGCGCAUUUGUGAAACAUUGGUUUUUUUUCUUUCAAAACCGCUCCCAGAGAGCAAACCUCAUACAAUGCCGUGCAGUGGAUCAAUUGGCUAGGGAGUCGAUGAAGAACGCAGCUAAAUGCGCGACAUAAUGUGAACUGCAGGACACAUGAGCAUCGACACUUUGAACGCAUAUUGCGGGCUUGUGCUUGCCACAAGCCCACCUUUGGGUCAGGGUCGGUUAUCCAACAUCCAUCGGGUGGCCUCACGGCCGCCCGCUCUGUCCUGCCAAGCCUUUCGUGGGCUUGCGGGAUUAAGUUGCAUCCUGUGGCCGGUGCGCCCGCAACGACUCCUGGGACAGACAAUCCCGGGUCGAGGCGGCGCCUGCCCAAUCGGAUGGAGCCGUGUGGGGAGCUGACUGCUCUAACAUCCCCUAUCGACGGCGAUCCAUAUUUUUCUCGACCUGACCUCAAGGGAGACUACCCGCCGAAUUUAAGCAUAUUAAUAAGCGGAGGAAAAGAAAAUAACAAUGAUUCCCUUAGUAAUGGCGAAUGAAACGGGAACAGCCCAUCGCAGAACUGCUGGCCAUCCCGGUCAUGCGGAAUGUUGCGUUUGGAAGGAUCUCUCGCCGAGGCUCGAACGACCAGUCAAAGUCCAACUUGACAGUGGCCACUGCCCAUAGAGGGUGCUAGGCCCGUAAGGCGGCUGUUUGGCUUCGCUGAUCUCUUCCCAGAGUCGGAUUGCUUGAGAGUGCAGUCCAAAGUGCGAGGUAAACUCCUCGUAAGGCUAAAUAUGAUCCCUAGACCGAUAGCAAACAAGUACAGUGAUGGAAAUUUGAAAAGAACUUUGAAGAGAGAGUUAACAGUACGUGAAACUGUGCGGCAGUAAACACAGCCUUCCUCGAAGUUGUCCGGGGAGACCCAGCCUUAGGGCGUGUCGGCUCUUGGCACCUGAUCAGCAAUGACUGGUGUCGGGGUCGUUCGGCGCGCCCGCGGGUGCAUCUAUCCCCGGAUUUACGGCAGGAACUGUUGGGACUGGACCAAGGGCCUGGGAAGAAGAUUUCGCUCCGGCGUCAGCUCCCGGUGUCCCGGCUUCGGACCCGACAGGCCUUGUGGUCGACUUGUACAGCAAGCAACGCUUCUGUUGCGGUCGGCCCUUCCCUGUCGAGUAGGUCGGCGGAGGCUGUGACCCGUCUUGAAACACGGACCAAGGAGUCUAACAUGUAUCCAAGUCAUUGGGUCGACUAAACCCAAAGGCGCAGUGAAAGCAAAGGCUCGCUUGUCGGGCCGAGGGAUGAGCCUUAACCGGUGCAAUCCCGCCACUUCCAAUCAUCCUCGUAUGUUGGGAGUAGGUAGAGGAUAGAUGUUGGGACCCGAAAGAUGGUGAACUAUGCGUGA
rnacentral:rRNA from 1 species